UACGCUAAUUUUGCCCAUGUAAAUUCCCUCCGUUUACACCUUUGAUAAUUUUUUUGCAUCCCCAACCGAUUGUCUGUUUGGCUUUGGUCCGAGCUCUGCAACAGGUGGCCACAGCCAUGGCCAGAAUAGCUUGCGCUCACAUUAUUCCGUCUCUGCUUUCCCCUUCGAAAUCCUUCAGUUAACUCGCUCUCUCUCCUCAGGAGCUUCUCAUUUCAGCCAUGUUACGGUGGUUGGCCGUCGUUUCUCUUCUACAUCCAAGAUCAGUACGAGCCUCAGAGCCGGCAUCGUUGGCCUCAUCAAUGUUGGAAAAUCAACGCUCUUCAUUGCCGUCGUCGAAAAUGGCAAGGCUCAAGCAGCUAAAUUUCCUUUCUGUACAAUAGAGCCCAACGUAGGAGUAUUUGCAGUUCCAGAUCCUCGUCUGCAUCAAUUUUCUGAUCUCAGCAAGUCUAUACGAGCUGUCCCAGCAUCCAUAGAGUUUGUAGAUACUGCUGGGUUAAUGAAUGGUGCCAGUCAAGGAGAAGUAUGGUUCAUUGACACCUCUGUUGAGGAUUGCUAGGAGUGAGUCCCACCAUGGCUAAUUUAGGGAAUGAUCAUGGGUUUAUAGGGACUGGGAAAUAACUUUUUAUCCCAUGUUCGUGAGGUGGAGGUCCAAACUUCAGGCUGUGCGCUGUUUUGAGGAUAACGACAUUGUUCACGUGAAUGGGAAAAUUGAUCCAAAAACUGGUAUUGAUUUGAUUAACCUAGAGCUUUAUUUUUCAGAUCUGGACCAGGUAACAUCAUUGAAACCUUUUCUAUAUUCAUACGCAUGUUUUGCACCUUUUGGAAUGCAGGGUUACAAUCCUUUGUUAUUAUCUUGCUACUUUUUAUUUAAUUGGACAUUUUCCUUCUAUACUAUGUUAACUCAAUCCCUAGAUAUCAGAAAUAUUAGGUAACAAUAAAUCUAAAUAAAUCCCUUAAUAAUAAGUAACGAUAAAUCUAAAUAAAUUCUUAUCUAAAGCGAGUACGGGCUUUGCUUGCCUCUCUCGUGUUCACCCUCUUGGAGUACUUCCAUGAACGUUACUGGCCUCUCUCAUACUCACUUCACUUGGAGCACUUCGAUUGGGGUUGUUUGCCUCUCUAGUGCUCACUUCUUAAGGAAAAUUGAUUAAUGUUUAGGAAGAACUCCAUCGCUUGCAAUGGUGACUUCUUGAAGCAAUUUUUCAAACUUCUAAUUGUUCCUCACAUCUAGAAGAACAUGCCUAGGGUUUAUCCUAUUUUUCCAGCCAAUUCCAAAAUCUUGGUGCCAAGGUAUUUGAGGAUGACGGCUAGGUAGAUCGAAGCAUAUAUCGUAGUGACCUUUCUUAAGGUACUGUAUGAUUCUUCCAUCCGGGCAUUAGAGUCUAGCCUUACAAAUUUGGAGAUUUUAGUUUAGUCGCCUCCUUUAUUGAAUACUUCAAAUAUGAAUCUCAAAAUUUGAUGUUUUGUGAUAAUGAUGGGAAGAAUGACUUGAGAUUUUUUUUGACAUGACGAUGGAAGAGGAUAGGUAUCUUGGUCAUGAUCGGUUGCUAGGAAGGCUCCAGAUAAAUUUAGUCAAAGUAGGAAGGCUAUGCUAAUUAAUUACACCUCUGAAAAUAGAUUAAUUAAGGAAAUGAAUCCUAUUUCCUAGUUGAAGUAUGGUAUGUUAGAUUCUGGGCCUUUCUUGCUUGUUUGGUCUUUCUUAAAAAUUUUGGAUUCUCAAGAAUUGAUGGAGCAAGUGAGGCUACAAUAAUGAUUCUUAAAGAAGAGAAGAUGUCAAUGGUUUCAAACCCACUGGGCUCUUGCUUCUAUUACGCAAUGGGCCAAAUUAUUGCUGUUGUUGAAUGUGUUUUAUCUGAUGUUGCAAAUGUUAUGACGUUGCAAUGGAAGUCGCAAGUGGGCUUGGCGCAAGAGUCCACCCAAUGGACUUUUGAUGCUGCAGAGGAACUUAUACUCUGACGCAAAUAGAAAUCGACUUAUCUAUCAUAUUGCUCUCGAAGUAUGAUUAAAUUUGUUGGUAAAAAUCUGAUUUAAAAUUAAAAACGUUUCAGUCAAAGAAGGAUGUAGCCCACUGGAUCUGGCUGUGUUGAUUUUGUUUUUCCAACAAUUCUCACAUCACAGAGGAAUAGGAUUAAAGCUCCUGAAAUGCAAUGUUACAAACAGAAUGAUUGAUAAUUCUGUCCUGCCUAUGAAUGGCCAAAUUUUUAAAGAUGGAUAUACUUACAUGAAGUAAAGAUUUAUGGAUGAAAUAUACGAAAGUUUUCAUUGAUGUUAAUGAGAAUCUGACACCAAAGAGAAGAAAACGUCAUUAGCUGUUCUCUCCUUUUGUUCUUUGUUUCAACGAAGUUCUUGAUGUUUCUUACAGAAGCUAAAUAAUAAACCUUGUCCAUAGAUUAUCAUCAUGCCUCCAAUUUUUUUUUUUUUUGUGAAGUAUUUGGUUGAGAGAAACAAAGAGUAAUUUUGAUAGUAGGAGAAAGUUUUGUUCACUGGGACAUUUUCUUGUAACUAGACUUAGUUCGUUGCCCUUUUGUGGCUUGAGGCCCUACACUUUUUUGUGUCUGUUCCUAUACUUCUGUUUUCUUAACAAAGGUGGUUUGGAGAACAUAUUCUCUUGGUUAAAAGAAUGUCAUUCAGAGAUUAGGGGAUCAACCUGCCUCGUUCUUUUGUCUUUUAGAGCAAAACUUGGCCUACCAAGGCCAGUGCAACAAGAAAAGUGCUCUAAUAGAAGAAUUUCUACUCGUCCAUAAGACCUUAAAAAAUUUAGCGAAGAAACGGACUGGUAUAGUGCUGUAUGAUUGACAUCCAGAAUUACUCAAAUCCUUAAUUUGAAAUUUGAAGAUUACUUCAUUCAUCCUGACAGACAUUUAACUGUGAACUGUUUACUGGACUGAUGACAUAUUAUACCUGUCUUGAAGUUUCUUUGGACUCUUGUUAACUUGAUCAUUCCAGCCAGAGUAAUACUAAAUUACCUAACAGAUUGUACAGCGGAUUCAAGAUCUAAAUCAAGAGGUGAAUAUUUAGCUGGACAGAAACAGGUAUGUGCAUAUUCUCAUAGCAUUAUCUUUCGAAAGAAUAAUUUUGAAUUUUUUUCUUCUAUAUCUUGUUUUAUUCUUGAUGUCAAUUUCCAAAAGUUUUAUUAUUACUUUUAACUGUUUUAAAAUGAGUUAAACUUUUUUAUUUUUGCUGACUACGUUUAAAAAAAACUCCCAUGAAUGUUCAAAAAUAGCAUUAAUACCCUUAAUUUUUCUAAAAUAAGUUUUUAUCGUGAGUAUAUAAAUGAAAAUCAUUUAUCUUUAUGACUUAUAGGUGUAGAUAAAUGGUUUUCAUCUAUAUACUAACGAGAACAACAUUUGUAAGCAUUUUUUAAAAGGUUAAAGAUGUUAAUGCUAUUUUUUUUAUAUUUUAAAAAUAUAAUUAGUAUUUUUGAAUUUUUUAAAAAUAUUUAAGUGUAUUAUUAAAACUUCUGGAUUUGUAUUUUAAAAUUUUUGAAGGUAUUAUUCAAGUUAUGUUGGGUAAUCGAGGAAUGUUGCAUGUGGAAAGAGAAUUUGUUUAAUUAUUUUAGAGUUAAUUAUUGCUUUUUAUGGCAUUAUUUAGGCACGAGUAGUUUAGUACUUUGAUGGGAUGUUUGCUAGGAACAGAAGGAUGAUAAAGUGUUAUGAUAUAUUAAAGAGUCUGUGUAUAUAAUAUUAUUAUCUACGCAUCAAAUGCAUAGAAAUAAUAAAGAGCCUGCUCAUUAAAAUCUGCAUUUUGCCCAUGCUUGCUUGGGCAGUAGAGACAUGAUCAUAAACUCAUAGAUUUUAUGUUCCCUUCCUUGUAAUUAGAGAUUCAGUUUUAAUUAUUUAUAGGAUAAUGAACUUCAGAAAAAUCAGAUUAUAUAUAAUCUUAUAUAUUAGACAUAAAAUUUAAAUAAUUAAAAAUCUAUUGAAAACUUUUUGAAGAUCGGAGGCUCAAAAAAUGCAAACUUGAAAGUUAAUGAAAUAAGUUUACAAUUUGACCUCAGAAUUAUUGUUGAAAUAAUUAUUUUGGACUAAAUUUCAUCCAUCAUAGGAAGGUUAGAUAAUUUUAAAAAAUCUAAUGUAACUCAACUCUGAGGCUUUGUUUUAGUUGGAUUACAACGUUGUUUUAGUUUGGGGGUAGUAUGGGAUCUGUAGUAGGUGAGAAAAUCACCCGUUUGAUCGAGUAUGCUACAAAUCAAUUUUACCUCUUAUUGUAGUGUGCUUCCGGAUUCCAGCAUUGAAUAGAUCCAUAGAUAAGAAUAUUUGUCCAUCGGUAAGAGGGACAAAUAGUCAAUUUUGAAAGAUAACCUCUUUCAGAUAUGAAUCUAUCUGUGAAUUUGUUUAGUCUAAUCCAAACAUAAACAAAGUUAAUAAAACUAUGAAUUUUUGGUUGAGAAUUAAUUUAACUUAGACUAAUUUUAAGAGCUGGCAUGUGCAGGGAAAGAUUUGCAAGAGUGUGAAUGUUUUUUUUUUGUUUGAUUCUAUUGAAUCAAACAUUAUUGGCAAUUUGAUUCAUCAUCCAAAUCUAGACUAUGUUAGUUGAAUAAAUUUGUGUUAUA